rnacentral:rRNA from 1 species
GUUUGAUCCUGGCUCAGGACGAACGCUGGCGGCGUGGAUUAGGCAUGCAAGUCGAACGGUAUGUGUUCUUCGGAACACAGAGAGUGGCGAACGGGUGAGUAACGCGUAGGUGAUCUACCUUCAGAUGGGGGACAACCCAGGGAAACUUGGGCUAAUACCGCAUGUGUCCGAGAGGAUAAAGCCGGCCUCUGCUUGCAAGCUGGUGUCUGGAGCUGAGCCUGCGUCUGAUUAGCUAGUUGGUGGGGUAACGGCCUACCGAGGCGAUGAUAAGUAGGCGGCUUUAACGAGUGGCCGCCCACACUGGGAUUGAGAAACGGCCCAGACUCCUACGGGAGGCAGCAGUCGAGGAUAGUCUACAAUGGCCGAAAGGCUGAUAGUGCGACGCCGCGUGAACGAAGAAGCAUUUCGGUGUGUAAAGUUCUUUUCCAUGAGAGCAGGGUACCCUUGGUUAAUAGCGAGGGGUAUUUGAUAUUAUUAUGGGAAUAAGCCACGGCUAACUCCGUGCCAGCAGCCGCGGUAAUACGGGGGUGGCGAGCGUUGUCCGGAAUUACUAGGCGUAAAGGGCAGGUAGGCGGUUUUAUAGGUUAAUCGUUAAAGACCCAUGCUCACCAUGGGGAGGGCGGUUGAUACUGUAAGACUGGAAGCGAGUGGGGGAAGACGGAAUUCCUGGUGUAGCGGUGGAAUGCGCAGAUAUCAGGAGGAACACCGAAGGCGAAGGCAGUCUUCUACGCUUGUCUUGACGCUAAACUGCGAAGGUGCGGGUAUCAAACAGGAUUAGAUACCCUGGUAGUCCGCACAGUAAACGAUAAUCACUAGGUGUCGGUCGGAUAUACCGGUCGGUGCCGUAGCUAACGCGAUAAGUGAUUCGCCUGGGGAGUAC